CCCCGCUCAGUAUGGCACCUGGAGAGUUUCCAGUCCUCUACCAGUCUCAGCUACAGGAGGGAGAGUCAAGCAGAGGCCCGGCCAUUCCAUUCCUAGCAUGGCCAGUGGCUAGCGAGUGGAAGGCCAUCUGCUACAAGU
rfam:Ornithorhynchus anatinus chromosome 1, whole genome shotgun sequence.